UACGUAGGGGGCAAGCGUUUGUCCGGAUUUAUUGGGCGUAAAGAGCGUGUAGGCGGCCUGGAAGGUCAGCUGUGAAAACUCGAGGCUCAACCUCGAGACGUCGGUUGAAACCACCUGGCUAGAGUCCGGAAGAGGAGAGUGGAAUUCCCGGUGUAGCGGUGAAAUGCGCAGAUAUCGGGAAGAACACCCGUGGCGAAGGCGACUCUCUGGGACGGUACUGGACGCUGAGACGCGAAAGCGUGGGGAGCGAAGAGG
rnacentral:rRNA from 1 species